AGUCGCACGAGUUCAGACUCGUGGCGAAUAGCUCAGUAACACGUGGCCAAACUACCCUUCGGAACACAAUACCCUCGGGAAACUGAGGCUAAUGGUGUAUACCAUACCACCACUGGAAUGAGUGGUAUGUCAAACGCUCCGGCGCCGAAGGAUGUGGCUGCGGCCGAUUAGGUAGACGGUGGGGUAACGGCCCACCGUGCCAAUAAUCGGUACGGGUCAUGAGAGUGAGAACCCGGAGACGGAAUCUGAGACAAGAUUCCGGGCCCUACGGGGCGCAGCAGGCGCGAAACCUUUACACUGCACGACAGUGCGAUAGGGGGAUCCCAAGUGCACAGGCAUAGCGCCUGUGCUUUUCGGUACCGUAAGGUGGUACCAGAAUAAGGGCUGGGCAAGACCGGUGCCAGCCGCCGCGGUAAUACCGGCAGCCCAAGUGAUGGCCGAUCUUAUUGGGCCUAAAGCGUCCGUAGCUGGCCGCGCAAGUCCAUCGGGAAAUCCACCUGCUCAACAGGUGGGCGCCCGGUAGAAACUGCGUGGCUUGGGACCGGAAGGCGCGACGGGUACGUCCGGGGUAGGAGUGAAAUCCCGUAAUCCUGGACGGACCGCCGAUGGCGAAAGCACGUCGCGAGAACGGAUCCGACAGUGAGGGACGAAAGCCAGGGUCUCGAACCGGAUUAGAUACCCGGGUAGUCCUGGCCGUAAACAAUGUCUGCUAGGUGUGGCUCCCACUACGAGUGGGUGCUGUGCCGUAGGGAAGCCGCUAAGCAGACCGCCUGGGAAGUACGUCCGCAAGGAUGAAACUUAAAGGAAUUGGCGGGGGAGCACUACAACCGGAGGAGCCUGCGGUUUAAUUGGACUCAACGCCGGACAUCUCACCAGCAUCGACUGUAAUAAUGACGACCAGGUUGAUGACCUUGUCCGAGUUUCAGAGAGGAGGUGCAUGGGCCGCCGUCAGCUCGUACC
rnacentral:rRNA from 1 species